rnacentral:rRNA from 1 species
UACGGAGGGUGCAAGCGUUUAUCCGGAUUCACUGGGUUUAAAGGGUGCGUAGGUGGGCAGGUAAGUCAGUGGUGAAAUCUCCGGGCUUAACUCGGAAACUGCCAUUGAUACUAUCUGUCUUGAAUACCGUGGAGGUCAGCGGAAUAUGUCAUGUAGCGGUGAAAUGCUUAGAUAUGACAUAGAACACCAAUUGCGAAGGCAGCUGGCUACACGAAUAUUGACACUGAUGCACGAAAGCGUGGGGAUCAAACAGG